UCUGUGUCUCUUAACAGGAGGAGAAGGCUCGUCCUCCAACUCCUCGACGACACCUUCCGACUCUUCUUCCGACUGCGCCAAGUAGCCGGCAACAACUCGAGACUUCAAACAAAUCGGUAUCAGCAACAAGAAUCACAAGUCAAAGAAGAACAAGUUAGGAGGAAAACACUUACCACUUCUGGCUCGUACCAGGCGUCAUACUGAUGAAGGGCUGCAGGGAUUACUGGUACUCCCUGAUAGUUCCUAAAAAACUUAGC
rnacentral:lncRNA from 1 species